ACGGCGAGUGAAGCGGCAAAAGCUCAAAUUUGAAACCCUCGGGAUUGUAAUUUGAAGAUUUGGCAUUGGAGAAAGCUAACCCAAGUUGCUUGGAAUAGUACGUCAUAGAGGGUGACAACCCCGUCUGGCUAACCGUUCUCCAUGUAUUGCCUUAUCAAAGAGUCGAGUUGUUUGGGAAUGCAGCUCAAAGUGGGUGGUAAACUCCAUCUAAAGCUAAAUACUGGUGAGAGACCGAUAGCGAACAAGUACUGUGAAGGAAAGGUGAAAAGAACUUUGAAAAGAGAGUGAAAUAGUAUGUGAAAUUGUUGAUAGGGAAGGAAAUGAGUGGAGAGUGGCCGAGGUUUCAGCCGCCCCUCGUGGGCGGUGUACUGCCGACGCCGAGUCAUCGAUAGCGAGACGAGGGUUACAAAUGGGAGCGCCUUCCGG
rnacentral:rRNA from 1 species